GAGCUUUUAUUUUGGGUAUUGGUUUAGCCACUGGCGCGCCUGAUACCCAAACGGCGCCCACUUGAACGGGUCGCCUACCAGAGAAAAUCUCACCCCCGGUCGGCCUCCCGACCGGGGG
rnacentral:sRNA from 9 species